ACAUGACUAUCAUGCAAGUCGAGCGACAGAGAAGGAGCUUGCUCCUUUGACGUUAGCGGCGGACGGGUGAGUAACACGUGGGCAACCUACCUUAUAGUUUGGGAUAACUCCGGGAAACCGGGGCUAAUACCGAAUAAUCUGUUUCACCUCAUGGUGAAAUAUUGAAAGACGGUUUCGGCUGUCGCUAUAGGAUGGGCCCGCGGCGCAUUAGCUAGUUGGUGAGGUAACGGCUCACCAAGGCGACGAUGCGUAGCCGACCUGAGAGGGUGAUCGGCCACACUGGGACUGAGACACGGCCCAGACUCCUACGGGAGGCAGCAGUAGGGAAUCUUCCACAAUGGGCGAAAGCCUGAUGGAGCAACGCCGCGUGAGUGAAGAAGGAUUUCGGUUCGUAAAACUCUGUUGUAAGGGAAGAACAAGUACAGUAGUAACUGGCUGUACCUUGACGGCACCUUAUUAGAAAGCCACGGCUAACUACGUGCCAGCAGCCGCGGUAAUACGUAGGUGGCAAGCGUUGUCCGGAAUUAUUGGGCGUAAACCGCGCGCAGGUGGUUUCUUAAGUCUGAUGUGAAAGCCCACGGCUCAACCGUGGAGGGUCAUUGGAAAAUGUGAGACUUGAGAGCAAAAGAGGAUAG
rnacentral:rRNA from 1 species